CCUACGGGUGGCAGCAGUGAGGAAUAUUGGUCAAUGGUCGGGAGACUGAACCAGCCAAGCCGCGUGAGGGAUGAAGGUACAGAGUAUCGUAAACCUCUUUUGUCAGGGAACAAAGGCGGGGACGUGUCCCCGGAUGAGUGUACCUGAAGAAAAAGCAUCGGCUAACUCCGUGCCAGCAGCCGCGGUAAUACGUAGGGGGCAAGCGUUAUCCGGAUUUACUGGGUGUAAAGGGAGCGUAGACGGUUAUGUAAGUCUGGAGUGAAAGCCCGGGGCCCAACCCCGGGACUGCUUUGGAAACUGUGUAACUGGAGUACAGGAGGGGCAGGCGGAAUUCCUGGUGUAGCGGUGAAAUGCGUAGAUAUCAGGAGGAACACCGGCGGCGAAGGCGGCCUGCUGGACUGAAACUGACGUUGAGGCUCGAAAGCGUGGGGAGCAAACAGGAUUAGAUACCCGGGUAGUC
rnacentral:rRNA from 1 species